rnacentral:rRNA from 1 species
UGGGGGAUAUUGCACAAUGGGCGAAAGCCUGAUGCAGCGACGCCGCGUGGGGGAUGAAGGCUUUCGGGUUGUAAACCUCUUUCGCUAUCGAACAAGGCCCGCUUAGGGUGGGUUGAGGGUAGGUGGAGAAGAAGCGCCGGCUAACUACGUGCCAGCAGCCGCGGUAAUACGUAGGGCGCGAGCGUUGUCCGGAAUUAUUGGGCGUAAAGGGCUUGUAGGCGGCUUGUUGCGUCUGCUGUGAAAACGCGGGGCUUAACUUCGCGCGUGCAGUGGGUACGGGCAGGCUUGAGUGUGGUAGGGGUGACUGGAAUUCCAGGUGUAGCGGUGGAAUGCGCAGAUAUCUGGAGGAGCACCGAUGGCGAAGGCAGGUCACUGGGCCAUUACUGACGCUGAGGAGCGAAAGCAUGGGUAGCGAACAGG